rfam:Camelus ferus unplaced genomic scaffold scaffold1508, whole genome shotgun sequence.
GAAAGUAUAGCUCAGUGGUAGAAUGUGUGCUUAGCAUGUACCAGAUCCUGGGUUCAAUCCCCAGUACCUCCA